AUUGAACGCUGGCGGCAUGCCUUACACAUGCAAGUCGAACGGCACCACGGGAGUAAUCCUGGUGGCGAGUGGCGAACGGGUGAGUAAAGCAUCGGAAUGUGCCCAGUCGUGGGGGAUAACGUAGCGAAAGCUACGCUAAUACCGCAUACGAUCUGUGGAUGAAAGCGGGGGACCGUAAGGCCUCGCGCGAUUGGAGCGGCCGAUGUCAGAUUAGGUAGUUGGUGAGGUAAAGGCUCACCAAGCCGACGAUCUGUAGCUGGUCUGAGAGGACGACCAGCCACACUGGGACUGAGACACGGCCCAGACUCCUACGGGAGGCAGCAGUGGGGAAUUUUGGACAAUGGGCGCAAGCCUGAUCCAGCAAUGCCGCGUGCAGGAUGAAGGCCUUCGGGUUGUAAACUGCUUUUGUACGGAGCGAAAAGGCUUCCACUAAUACUGGGGGCUCAUGACGGUACCGUAAGAAUAAGCACCGGCUAACUACGUG
rnacentral:rRNA from 1 species